AAAUUGAAGAGUUUGAUCAUGGCUCAGAUUGAACGCUGGCGGCAGGCCUAACACAUGCAAGUCGAACGGUAGCACAGAGAGCUUGCUCUCGGGUGACGAGUGGCGGACGGGUGAGUAAUGUCUGGGAAACUGCCCGAUGGAGGGGGAUAACUACUGGAAACGGUAGCUAAUACCGCAUAACGUCGCAAGACCAAAGUGGGGGACCUUCGGGCCUCACACCAUCGGAUGUGCCCAGAUGGGAUUAGCUAGUAGGUGGGGUAACGGCUCACCUAGGCGACGAUCCCUAGCUGGUCUGAGAGGAUGACCAGCCACACUGGAACUGAGACACGGUCCAGACUCCUACGGGAGGCAGCAGUGGGGAAUAUUGCACAAUGGGCGCAAGCCUGAUGCAGCCAUGCCGCGUGUAUGAAGAAGGCCUUCGGGUUGUAAAGUACUUUCAGCGGGGAGGAAGGCGUUGUGGUUAAUAACCACAGCGAUUGACGUUACUCGCAGAAGAAGCACCGGCUAACUCCGUGCCAGCAGCCGCGGUAAUACGGAGGGUGCAAGCGUUAAUCGGAAUUACUGGGCGUAAAGCGCACGCAGGCGGUUUGUUAAGUCAGAUGUGAAAUCCCCGGGCUCAACCUGGGAACUGCAUUUGAAACUGGCAAGCUUGAGUCU
rnacentral:rRNA from 1 species